rnacentral:rRNA from 1 species
GAUCAUGGCUCAGGAUAAACGCUGGCGGCGCACAUAAGACAUGCAAGUCGAACGGACUUAACCGUUAGUUUACUAAUGGAGCGGUUAGUGGCGGACUGGUGAGUAACACGUAAGCAACCCUGCCUAUCAGAGGGGAACAACAGUUAGAAAUGACUGCUAAUACCGCAUAUGCCUUAGCAACACAUGUUGCAAAAGGGAAAGGAGCAAUCCGCUGAUAGAUGGGCUUGCGU